GUGCUCACUAUGGCAGAAUGUGUACUAAAAUUGGAACAAUAUAGAGAAGAUUAGCAUGACCCCUGGGCAAGGAUGACAGGCAAAUUCAUGAAGCAUUCUAUAUUUAA